rnacentral:rRNA from 1 species
UCGACGAUGAACCACUUCGGUGGGGAUUAGUGGCGAACGGGUGAGUAACACGUGGGCAAUCUGCCCUGCACUCUGGGACAAGCCCUGGAAACGGGGUCUAAUACCGGAUACUGAUCCUCUUGGGCAUCCAAGGUGUUCGAAAGCUCCGGCGGUGCAGGAUGAGCCCGCGGCCUAUCAGCUUGUUGGUGAGGUAAUGGCUCACCAAGGCGACGACGGGUAGCCGGCCUGAGAGGGCGACCGGCCACACUGGGACUGAGACACGGCCCAGACUCCUACGGGAGGCAGCAGUGGGGAAUAUUGCACAAUGGGCGAAAGCCUGAUGCAGCGACGCCGCGUGAGGGAUGACGGCCUUCGGGUUGUAAACCUCUUUCAGCAGGGAAGAAGCGAAAGUGACGGUACCUGCAGAAGAAGCGCCGGCUAACUACGUGCCAGCAGCCGCGGUAAUACGUAGGGCGCGAGCGUUGUCCGGAAUUAUUGGGCGUAAAGAGCUCGUAGGCGGCUUGUCACGUCGGUUGUGAAAGCCCGGGGCUUAACCCCGGGUCUGCAGUCGAUACGGGCAGGCUAGAGUUCGGUAGGGGAGAUCGGAAUUCCUGGUGUAGCGGUGAAAUGCGCAGAUAUCAGGAGGAACACCGGUGGCGAAGGCGGAUCUCUGGGCCGAUACUGACGCUGAGGAGCGAAAGCGUGGGGAGCGAACAGGAUUAGAUACCCU